rnacentral:lncRNA from 1 species
CAUAACACUAUAAGCAAACUCGUUUGGGAAAGACAGUGAAGGAGGAUCCAAGGGUAGAGAUAUUAUCAUAGGAAUUGGAACACGGAGUUGAUAACUCAGAGCAAAACCCUCCAUUACUGAGUUAACUUGAAGAGCAGAGAUUAUUGAGGUGGAGGCUCCAGAAAGAAGAGAAAAGGGGAGAGACGUUUUAAUGAUUGUUAUGGAGGAGAGACAUCGGUUUGUUUGUUUCUUUCACUGUGCAGCACUGGAGAAGCUUUUUCGUUUUUGGAAAUAUUUUCGUCUUUUUCUAAUUUUAAGACUUUGUUUUUCACUCCUUUUGUUUUAUUUUUGCUUUUGAGUGAGAAAGGAUGGGC